ACAUGUCAUAUUCUAUAACCCGUGCUUAACUGAGAACCAAAGCAAGCAACUGCUUGAUAUGAAAAUAAAGAAUUGCCAGUGAUUGCACAAGAGUUUCUCUAGGAAACUGACUGUUCAUUCCACAUCUUGGUUGAUUAAGCAAAUCCUUCCAAAGGUGCUUGAUGAAAUUCUGGUACGAGAUAUGGGUCCAUGGAGAACUCCUUCCUCGCCAUCGGCCUCCUCUCCGAUGCUCGGCUCCAGGUGCACUUGCCAUCCGUCAAACAAGCCUGCCAUCCAUCCAUCUUUCCUCGUUGUACCGAACACCCCAUCUGCUCCCUUUCCUUCCUCCAUCGACGACGCCGCCCAGGCCUCCACCAUCCCCAACAGAUGUCCCUCCAGCA